GUAGGUGGCAAGCGUUGUCCGGGAAUUAUUGGGGCGUAAAGCGCGCGCAGGUGGUUCAUUAAGUCUGAUGUGAAAGCCCCCGGGCUCAACCGGGGAGGGUCAUUGGAAACUGGGGAACUUGAGUGCAGGAGAGGAAAGUGGAAUUCCACGUGUAGCGGUGAAAUGCGUAGAUAUGUGGAGGAACACCAGUGGCGAAGGCGACUUUCUGGCCUGUAACUGACACUGAGGCGCGAAAGCGUGGGGAGCAAACAGGAUUAGAUACCCUGGUAGUCCACGCCGUAAACGAUGAGUGCUAAGUGUUGGGGGGUUUCCGCCCCUCAGUGCUGCAGCUAACGCAUUAAGCACUCCGCCUGGGGAGUACGGUCGCAAAGACUG
rnacentral:rRNA from 1 species